UAGGGAAUCUUCCACAAUGGACGCAAGUCUGAUGGAGCAACGCCGCGUGAGUGAAGAAGGUCUUCGGAUCGUAAAGCUCUGUUGUUGGUGAAGAAGGAUAGAGGCAGUAACUGGUCUUUAUUUGACGGUAAUCAACCAGAAAGUCACGGCUAACUACGUGCCAGCAGCCGCGGUAAUACGUAGGUGGCAAGCGUUGUCCGGAUUUAUUGGGCGUAAAGCGAGCGCAGGCGGAAUGAUAAGUCUGAUGUGAAAGCCCACGGCUCAACCGUGGAACUGCAUCGGAAACUGUCAUUCUUGAGUGCAGAAGAGGAGAGUGGAACUCCAUGUGUAGCGGUGGAAUGCGUAGAUAUAUGGAAGAACACCAGUGGCGAAGGCGGCUCUCUGGUCUGCAACUGACGCUGAGGCUCGAAAGCAUGGGUAGCGAACAGGAUUAGAUACCCUGGUAGUCCAUGCCGUAAACGAUGGGCGCUAGGUGUUGGGGACUUUCCGGUUCUCAGUGCCGCAGCAAACGCAUUAAGCGCUCCGCCUGGGGAGUACGACCGCAAGGUUGAAAC
rnacentral:rRNA from 1 species